UACAGAGGCCCCAAGCGUUACUGAGAAUCACUGGGGUUAAAGGGUGCGUAGGUGGCGCGUUAAGUCCGUUGUGAAAUCCCUUGGCUCAACCAAGGAACUGCUUCGGAUACUGGCGUGCUUGAGGCUAGUAGAGGUCACUGGAACUGACGGUGGAGCGGUGAAAUGCGUAGAUAUCGUCAGGAACGCCAAUGGUGAAGACAGGUGACUGGGCUAGUUCUGACACUGAGGCACGAAAGCGUGGGGAGCGAACGGG
rnacentral:rRNA from 1 species